rnacentral:rRNA from 1 species
AUUGAACGCUGGCGGCAGGCUUAACACAUGCAAGUCGAGCGCCCCGCAAGGGGAGCGGCAGACGGGUGAGUAACGCGUGGGAAUCUACCCAUCACUACGGAACAACUCCGGGAAACUGGAGCUAAUACCGUAUACGUCCUUCGGGAGAAAGAUUUAUCGGUGAUGGAUGAGCCCGCGUUGGAUUAGCUAGUUGGUGGGGUAAUGGCCUACCAAGGCGACGAUCCAUAGCUGGUCUGAGAGGAUGAUCAGCCACACUGGGACUGAGACACGGCCCAGACUCCUACGGGAGGCAGCAGUGGGGAAUAUUGGACAAUGGGCGAAAGCCUGAUCCAGCCAUGCCGCGUGAGUGAUGAAGGCCCUAGGGUUGUAAAGCUCUUUCAACGGUGACGAUAAUGACGGUAACCGUAGAAGAAGCCCCGGCUAACUUCGUGCCAGCCGCCGCAGUAACAC